UAUCAUAAAAAGAAGCAAAGAUAAAGUGGGAAACAGAGUGUCUCAAGAGGAAGGAGGUUUUGAGAAGUAGCAGCUUCAGAUGCUAGGCGAUCAGCUAUUGCAUUAACCUCCCGAGAGGUAUGCUGAAAUCUGAUAAAGGAGAAGGAUGUGGCCAGCUGUUGGCAAUCGGAAAUGAGGUUGGAAACUCACCAAGGACAAGAAGACACCAUGCCCUUGAGGAGAUUAAUAGCUAAAAGAUUUUCACUCUCUAUUAUAAUGGAAUGAAAGUUGAGGGAGCAACCCACCAGAAGCGCCUGACGGAUAGCCCAAACUUCAGCAGUGAUUGCAUGGUUGAAUCCGAUACCAGCCUAGAAACAGCAGACAAAGUUACUAUCAGAGUUUUGACAAAUUCCUCCGAUCCCCGCCAAACCCGGAUUUCCUUUGCUCGCACCAUCCACAUUAAACUUCCAUACAUCGUGGGGAGGAGGUUUCCAAGAUACAAAAAUGUUAGAGCAAGUCAGCCUGGGCACAGAGGUAGAGCUCUGAUCUUUGGCAUCCUUGAUAGCCUGUCUAAGCAAUAGGAUUGGAUUAAAGGAUUUUCGAGCAAAGAUCAAGUCCCAAUAGGCGGACCAGAUCCUCCAGAUUACAUUGCACUGAAGUGAAGUUUUUAUAAUGGUAUCCCUGUUGAUAGUCCGAUAGGCUUUGAUGAUGUUGAAAAUACCUGUAGAUAUGGAAGUGCUGUCAAGCUCAAGAUGGAGACCGGCCUGUCUGCCAAAUGGGUGAAAUGUGAGGGCAGUGCAUGAACAGGUGAUUUGCACUUUGCAUCUCAAUGCGACAAAAGGGACAAUAUGGGUCUAAGGAAAAACCUCUGUUAUUCAAGAGAUCUGGUAGAGGGAGUCAGUUAUGCAGAAUCUUCCACAAGAGAUGAUGUAUCUUUGGGGUAGAUGGCAGAUGGCAGAUGCCACAGCUUGAGCCACGGCACGGUGGUGGUGGAUGUCCAAUCCCUAAACCCGUUGACUGCUAUACUGUAGGCCGAGGCGACUGUAAAAGAUCCAUUUGACGUUGCUGCCCAUACAUAUCUAUCUUCAUAGAAGUUGGGCUAGUAGGAAUGGGAAUUGCCAGGAUUCUCCAUACAAUCUCCGGAGACCACCAAAUAAGAAGUAAAUCUCUUCUCCAGGUCUUGGUGUGAGGAUCAAUGAAGGCUGCCACAGUUGAGGAGCACUUUGAGGAAGGGGGUAAGGGGCAGAAGGUGGAAGGCAUUGUGGAAUCCAGAAGUCGCACCAAGGAUUUAUGGAUUGCCCAUUUCCCAGCUGUCUAAAAAUUCCUUUUUUGAGAAGGUCCCUCGCCGAACAUAUUGAUUUCCAGCCCCACGACGCAGUUGACGGUCACUUGGCUUCCAAAAAUGAUGAAUGGGGAAAAUAUUUUUGUUUCAUGAGUCGAGCCCAAAGCGAGGACUAUUGUGGACAUGCGAAGUGCUACCAUUGGACCAAUAGAGUCGAGAGCUUUAUGAACUAAAUGGGGCAGUUCAAAGCAAGACGUGGCGUAUAGCGGUUGUGCAGCAAGAGUUGACUGAAUAAGUACUAACUUUCCCGCUGGGCUCAAAAAUUGCGCCUUCCAGUGUUGCAGACGCUGAGAAACUCUGUUGAUUAAAUCUUCUGUGUGACCUUGAGAGUUUGCGGCUUAUCAAUGGUAUGCCCAGAUAUUUACCAAGAGACUGCGUAGGUGCAAUCUGGAAAAACUCUCUCAACAGUCUUUUGACCUCAGAUGAUACAUUGUUGCUGAAUUGCGCUCGUGUCUUCUGUAUAUUGAUCUUUUGUCCUGAAAAUCAACAAUAAGUAUUAAGGAUGUGGUUCAGGUUCCUGGCCUCAGGCAUUGUGACUUCGCCAAAGAAGAUCAAGUCAUCGGGGAACGCCAUGUGAGUUAACCGCUCACCUCCUUUGCAGAUUUGAAUACCAGAUGUGAAGAAAGCAACUCAGCACACAAGACAAAAACAUAAGGCGACAUUGGAUCACCUUGACGUAACCCCCUAGAGGGUUUGAAAAAAGGGUGAGGCUCCCCAUUAAUCAAUAUGCCAAACUGGGGGGUCUCCACACAAAACAUAACCUUUUUGACCCACCCGUCAUCAAACCCAUAGCUGAGAAGAGUUUUCUUCAAAAAAGACCAUUCAAGCAUAUAAUAUGCCUUGCUCAUGUCCACCUUAAGUGAGAAGAAUCCAGUGCGACCUCUGCGUGUGUUCUUCAGCUUGUGCAUUACUUCAUUAGCAACUAGAAUAUUAUCUUGUAUAUGUCUACCCUUUAUAAAGCCAUUCUGGCUGAAAGAGAUAAUUCUGUUUAGUAUAGGCUUAAGCCUCCCCACAAUGAUUCGGGAAAUCAUUUUGUAAAUAAAAUUACAAAGACUGAUUGGCCGAUAAUCAGUUACUGUGGUGGGAUGAGACACCUUUGGUAUGAGGGCAACAUAAGUGAAAUUGAGAGGAAGAUUGAAUGUACCAGAGCUGAAGAAAUUCAAAAUGCACUCUGUUACCUCAUUGCUGAUGAGCGACCAUGUUUUGUUGUAAAAUACUCCAGGGAAGCCAUCCGGUCCUGGUGACUUAAGGGCUGGCAUGGCCUGAAUUGUAUUCCAUAUUUCUUGGCUGGUUAUAGGAGCAGUGAGCUUGGAGUUAUCAUCCGAUGUAACCCGA